rnacentral:piRNA from 1 species
UGAGAGGCUAGGUGGAUGCAGCUACC